rnacentral:lncRNA from 13 species
GUGCAGCGCUGGGAAUAAGGAAAUCAAUGCUGGAUGUGGCAGGAGGAGGGAGCGGGGAGAAGGAGCAGCUGCUCAGCCCGUCCGAGGGAGAGGAAAAUCCCUCUGAGGGAGAUGGAGAGAGGGAAUUCCCACAAACCAUCCAGCCCCACCCCUGCCAUGGGCAGGGACACCUCCCACUGUCCCAGGGGGCUCCAACCUGGCCUUGGGCACUUCCAGGGAUCCAGGGGCAGCCCCAGCUCCUCUGGGAAUUCCAGCCCAGCCCCUCCCCACCCUCACAGCCAGGAAUUCCUUCCCAAUAUCCCAUCCAUCCCGGUUCCUGCUGCACCUUCCCCACAGACUCAGAAGUGCUGAGACUUCUGGCUGCUCCACCUGCACGGAGCUCUGUGGCUGCUCUGCCCUUCAGCUGCACUCACAGGAUCAGGGAGAGCAAUCCUGGAAUUGUUUGGGCUGGAAAACCCCUCUGAGAUUGAGUCCAACCAUCCCCAGCACUGCCAAGGCCAGCGCUGCCCAUGUCCCCUGGUGCCACAUCCAAUCCCCCCAGGAGUGGGGACUCCACCGCUGCCCAGGGCUGGACAGCACUUUUGGGGAAGAAAUUUUCCCUAGAAUCCAAUUUGAUCCUAAACGAGAGCCGUGCUCUAGGCCAGCACUUGCACUCAGACUGUCCCCACCUGCUGAAGGGUUGGUGACCCUCCGAGCUGACCCUCACGCUGAUUAACUGCUCUUGCGAAUCCUCCUCCUGAAGCGACGUUUCUGUGCUGGAGAGAGGAAACUUCAAUGGGGCAGCUUUAAAAAGGGACCAAAGAAGAGCCAGCGGAUCAGAGGAGGAGCCCUGAGGGGAACUUGGGGAGCGCUGGUCCAAUCCCAGCGCUGUUCUGACAAUGCGCUGAGCGAGCUGGGCCAAAGGCCACGGAGCUAUUCUGGAUUUCCUCCUGAGACCUCCGAAACUUCAGCAGCUUCCAAUUCCACAUGGCCACACUCUGGAGACUGAGGAAGCUUUGUGGAGGCUCCCACCCCUCCUUUUCCUUUUGAGAUAAUUGACAGCCCAAAGUCUUCAGAGAAAAGGCCGAAAUUGUAAUUUAAGUUAAUUUAAAGUCUCAAAAACCAGGACAAACCCCAUGUUUCUCUCCCCCUGCUCCCUCCUGCCAGCACACCUGAUUCUGGCUUUGUGAGCGUUCCGGACUCAUCCUGCUCAUUUCAGUUCAGGUAACAGAGCUGACACGUUCCUGCAGGAUUUUAACAACCCCCGGCCACACCUGCACCUGCAGGACUUUCCAGCGUCCAUGAGGAACGACCACCCAGCCGUUUCUUUCCUUUUGGAUUAACCUGAUGAUCCGCAGGCACGUGGACCAGCCCAUUCCCACCAUGAAGCACCUUGGGGCUGCAGGAUGCGUGGGGAGCCUGAAAACACGGGAUCCCUGCCUUCAGGAACCACUUUUCCUUGGUUUUCCUGCAGGCUCUGUCAGCUGGCACUGAUGUGAGUGCAGUAAAAGGGAAUUUGAGACCUCUGGCUCUGCCUAUUCCAUCCCCCCUGUCCGCGUGUCCAUCUGCAGGACACUCCUGUGGCCUCCCAUGCACCAAUCACCCACACAAAUCCCUUAAUUCCUCGCCUUUUCUGGGAUCUGUCACACAAACCACACAAUUUCCUGCUCUCAGAGCCAGCCAGCAGCUCCCUGUGUUACAUAAUCCUGGGCAGAGCUCGACAUUUGUUGAUUUAUUCCUCUGCAGGAGCUGGAGCUGACGGAGCUUCCAGUUCUUCCUCCUCUAAUUCCGCCUCGUUUGGAUCCACCCUGAAACCAGGGGGGCUGGAAGGCUCUUGGCAGGAAGGUCUGAGAUGACAAAACCUUGAGUAAAAGAAAUAAACAGAGAGAAGCUCAGGAAAAAUGGAAUCCCCGUUUCUUCUGGAGAUGAAGAACCAGUUUUGGAUGCUCCGUUCUCAGUGGGGCCAGAGGGAGGAGGAAUUCCCCUCAACCACAGGAUGGUUUGGGUUGGGAAGGACCAUGGACAGGGACACCUUCUCCUAGCCCAGGUUGCUCCAAGCCCUGUCCAACUUGGCCUCGUGGAUUAUCCCUCCCAAUUCCACCCCUGCCCAGGGUCUGGAUGUCUCUGGGAGCAGGACACAGCUCGUCGUCAGCGGGAGCAGCCCAGGGAACACAAUCCUUAGGAUGGCAUCACCCAGAGGUCGCUGCUCUUCACAGCCAGCCUGGACCUGGAACCAGCAAGGAAUUUCACUUCCCAAUUUCCCAGUAGCAGCCACUAAUUAAUAUGGAUUAUUAAUUACCAGAAACAUGGUAAAUUAACCCCCUCGUUUCCCACCUUGGUCUGCCUCUUCACAUCACAAAAAUAUAAUCAGUGACGGUUAAACCCAGCCUGGUUGUUUCUGGAGCAGGUAUUUCCCCCUCUCCUGCAAAUCACCGCCAUCAUUAAUUUUAAACAGCGCUAAUUGCCGUCGUUUGGCCUUUCCAAGCACAUCUCGCCCAUCUGCACCGGCAGGACCUGAGCACGCUCAGAACAGGCUCUGAGCCUUGUCAGAGGAGGGAGAAUGUGCAAAGCUGCGCCCAGGCUGUGAGGAGGAGGUGUCAAAGGCACCAUCUGGAUAUCCCACAUCCCGCCUGGAGCUGCUCGGAAUUAGGAGAGGCACUGUUCGAGCGCUGAUAUUCCUGCAGGGAGCCACAGCCACCGUGACUUCAGCGUUUCAGUGAGCUGGGGAAAAGGCUGCGUGGAAUCCUGGAAUGGUUUGGGUGGGAAGGGACCUUAAAGUUCAUCUCUGCCAUGGGCAGGGACACCUCCCACUGUCCCAGGCUUCUCCAGCCUGGCCUUGGACACUGCCAGCGAUCCAGGGGCAGCCACAGCUGCUCUGGGAAUUCCAUCCCAGCCCCUCCCCACCCUCAUUCCUCCCCAAAAUCCCAUCUCUCCCUGCCCUCUGGCAGUGGGAAGCCGUUCCCUGUGUCCUGUCCCUCCG